GGCGAGUUUCAAGCUAGUUGCUUGAAAUUCAAGUUCUGAGUUGAAAUAAUGUAACGUUAUGGCAGGGCUAAUCGAACAGGCGAAAUUAUUUGAAACAAAAGUCAGGAUAGGUAAUUUUAAUACAACAUAUAAAUUACAGAGUAAAGACUAUUUUUCUAAUUUGACAUGAAUGGGACGCAAUGACACUACCUCGCGAUUCAGUCUACAAUGCUGUACUACCAGAAUACUGAAGCCCUUAAAUGGUUCAAAAAGAAAGAGGAAGAGGAAGAGAGAUAGACAACUUAAAGUCUUACACCCACAGCACAUUGUGACAAUUCUGAGAGGAAGUCGCAGGAGCCUGUAUCAGAAAGGAAAUAUAAAGUACAGACCUUUCCUAUGUGUAUUCCAUGUAUGGCAAUGGGUCAGUCCUGCUUAAUCCUUCUAAGAGCAGUUCAAAGAUCAGUGCUUUGCAUCUAGUUGAGAUAUGUGGUAGAAGCCAACAUUAUGUUGCCUAAUUAGGCUACUACUGUAACAACAAGGGGCAAACUGCAAAGAGUUGAAUUUCAACAAGCACAAUAGUUCCACUCAUAGAUCAUGCAAGAUUUUAUGCACGGAUAUGUAAUACUUUCAUGACAGAAUGAGUUUGGUUUCAAAUGUUCAAGCUGCCUUGACAUUUUGGAAUACCUGCUUUAUCAAGGGCACAAAUCCCCAACAGACAACAUCAGAAAGGAGCAGUCUAAAUGUUGCCAUGUUUUUGACUUUGAUCCAUUGAGGUACUUGGACAAAGAAGGAGAUACAAAAUAUGUUGUUUGAGCUGAUGUUUACAAAAACAUUGGCCAACAAAAGAGUCUUAACCUGAGAAAUAUGCCAAAGUGAGAAAUAUGCCACAUUGUACAUCAGCAAUUCUGAUGAUAUCUUCUGCUACUUAUUUUUGAAUUAAUUGGGUAGAAAACAACUAAUUCUAGCUUGCAGCAUUAGGAUGAUAUUUUCACUUAAUGGUUUCAUUAGUUGGGUUUGACAGAUGAACCUCAUUAAAUCCAGAGAUCUGCACAUUGUGCAUGGUUUACGCUACUUCAUAGCACACAGUGAUUAUGGGUGUAUCUCUAUCAUGCUGAUUUUGAUCUGACAGAACAGUCUGGAAGCCUGGAAACAGGUCAACAAUGUGUAACCCUGGGCCACAUCAGAGUCCAGUUCAUUAAGACAGUAAAUGAAGCUUGUUUAAUUAGCUCCUUAUAUGUAUAUGAACGCAACCUAAACAUAGUUGUUUUUAGUCUAUGUUAAAAAAAAGGUAAAUAAGUGUUGAUUAUCAGUGUAUGGUAACAUUUAAUUCUUGUCACAGAGGUGCUUUGUCUUGACCAAUCAAGAGUGUUUGUGCCACACAAUUAUAGCAGUUGUUUAUAUUGGCAAAUUUUACAUUUCAUAUUGAGUCUAUUUGUAACUAGAAUUUUAAAUCUGAAAUCAAGUACAUCUACAUUUGUCUGUAUAAAAAAUAACUGAUGUGAAUAAUAAAUGAUCCCUAAUGCAAUCAAUAAUUAUACCUCUUGAUUACCCAUGUGUGCAUGUGCAGAAAAGAAAGGGAGAGAAUAUGAGUGGAGAUAUUUAAUUUCCAUGAAACAGUCAGCAGAGCAUAAAGGACCCAAUCAAUAUCCUGUCCUUUACAAGAGGAAGAGGAAAGCUGCUGUUUGCCCUCAAAAUAACCUGAGCAAGUUCCUGUUUCCUUCAUAAUUUCCUUAUUUCAGCUGA